rnacentral:rRNA from 1 species
AUCUGGGCGGCGGAAUUCAGGAUGGCUGGCGGGUCUCGCGCCCGUCCGGCCGUUUGAUAUUUCCGUCGCCGUUGCAGACGUCGCGACCUGUUCGUCGUCGGUCCUUGCUCGGAGGAAUCGCGUUCGAGUUCGUUGCGGGCGUGUUUCGGCGCGUCUCGCGACGAAGGCGUGGCUCUCUGGCUGACGACGGACAGUAAGCAACGGUGGCCGGCGCGGUGUCUCGCACUCCGCGUCGGUGCCGGUCAGCGACGAUUUCUUCGGGCCUCUUUCCGACCCGUCUUGAAACACGGACCAAGGAGUCUAACAUGCGCGCGAGUCGCGGGGUUUCGAGCGUGCUACGGUGCGCUCGUUACUUCCGAAACCCGUACGUUGAAGGCGUAAUGAAAGUGAACAGGGAAGAUGGCGCUCCGAGUCCACGAACCGUGAUCGCGUAUCGCGGCCGGGCGCCCGCACUCCCGGGGCGUCUCAAUGGCUCGUCGCGGAUGCGGACGGUCGUUCUUCGGGGCGGCCGUCGGUCUGCGACGGACCGA